rnacentral:lncRNA from 1 species
GCCCCAAAAAUAAAGUUUUCACUAUGAUAAUAUUUGUACAAGUAUAAGAAGAUAAAAAUAUAAUGCAAAAUUUAAAGUCUUCUAUGAAUGCUGUUUCCGACGAGUAUUGUCAAUAACCUGUUUAAACACUUAUAAUAAAAAUGUUAGUAACAAAUAAAUAGUUAUAAAAGGGCAUGUAUGCAUAUAUGUAUUCAAAAUAUAUUUUUUGUUAAAAAAACAGGCUCAGAGAAAGUUUUUUAAAAAAUAAAAGAUUUCAUUAUUGCCCAAAUUUAUUUAUUUUAUUAAGUAUUUGUAUACAUAAUAUCCGUCGACUUUUUAUUUGCGGAGGCCUCAAAAAUCGACGAAAAAUUUCUCCAUCCGCCAAUUAAGUAGCCUUUUGACCAUAAAAACUAAAAUUUUUCGAAGUUGGAGUUAAAAUUAGAGUUGAAAUUAGAGUUGGAGCUGUGUUUGGCCAUGUCUUUUUUGAAAUUUCUUUUUUGACUUUUGAAAAAACUUUUUUAAAUAUGAUUUUAUACCCCAAUUUUUACAAACUAUCAAAAUCACCCAACUAAAAUUUAUCUACUAAUGAAAAAAGAACACAAUUAGCCACUAUAAUAAAAAUAAUUACAUAUACAUGACCAUAUUUAAUAAAUUUCAAUUAUGACAUAUAUAAUAUUUACAUUAAUAGCCGUUUUCACAUAUUUAAAAAUUUUAAAUAUGAAUGUUAUAUUAGCAGGUCACUGCCUCAUGUUUUUUAGAUAACAAAUAUUAUCUUUCAAAUAAAUUUAUUUUUUUAGAAAUUUAUUUAAUUUAUUUCCUUCAUUUUUCGUUCCUAAAAUAUAGGAAAUGAUGAGUUGUUAUUAAAUUUUAGGGUGCCCCUAAUUUAUUUCUUUAAUUUUCUUAUACAUGAAAGAUUUUACUGUGUGUAAAUAAAUUAUUUCUAUGUAAAAUAUGCUUUGCAUAUUUAUGGUAUAAUAUAUCAAAUACCAUAAAUAUAUAAAUAUGCUUAGUAUGUUUGUUUAUACUUUGUAUUUUUAUAUAUGUGUGUAUAUAGUAUAUACAUGAUAUAAACUUCAUAUAUAACAUAAUUUGUAUAUUUAUAUUAUAAAUAUACUUAAUAUGUUUCUUAAUACUUUGUAUAUUUAUAUAUAUGUGUAUAUGAUAUAUACAUGAUAUAAACUUUAUAUAUAACAUACUUUGUAUAUUUCUAUUAUAAAUAUAAUACUUUAUAUAUUUAUGGGUAUAAAUAUAAAUUUGUAGUAAAAUAAUGUCUUAAAUAAGGGAUAAAAAUAAUGAUUAUAAAUAUGAUACUUUAUAUAUUUAUGAAUAUAAAUAUAAAUUAGCAGUAAAAUAAUGUCUUAACUAAAGAAGAAAAUUAAAUAAAAGAUAAAACUAAUGAUGAGAGAGAAAAAGAGAUAUAUAUUAAUUAGAAUAACAUUAAAUUUGAAAUUAUAAUUAUCUUAUUCUUUAAAACUGCUAUAUACGUAAUAUUGAAAAAGUAAUGUUAUAAGGAGAGUUUUAUGUAAAAAUUUAAAAGAUUGAGGUUAUAUAUAAUAAUAAUAAAAGUUAGAAUUCAAAAAUUGUGAAAAUAAUAAAAGCCUGUUUUCCUUUUCAGAAAAAUUUUUUGAAAUUAUUUUUCGAAUUUUCAUGACCAAACACCACAAUUUUCAACUUUGAAAUUUUUUUUCAAAAAAGAGGAAAAAAUUUUCAUGGCCAAAGGGCCCUAAAUUAAUCCUGAAUAUAGAAGAAACAAUCAAAUACAAGUAAUUAAAUAAUAAAAAAAUAAAAGAUAAAAAUAAAAUAUGUCUUAUGUCUUUUGUCUUGAGGAGAUAUCAAAGAUUAACGGAGAAAUUUUAUUAUUAUUCAAAUAAUUUAUUAAUAUCGUAGAAUAAAAUAAAACCAAAACAUUCAACUAAAAUAGUCUAACUUGGAACCAAAUUAAAAAUGGCAAUUUCCAAAAAACUAAAUAAAAUUGUGAUGGUGAAUCAAAUCGUCUCUAAAAAGUUAUUUUUUUAAGAAAAUAAUGAAUCAUCAAUUGCAUAAGAUUUAAUCUUGAGUAAACAUCAACUGUGAGGAGUAAAACAUUGGAGAACAAAAUCAAUAUGUCCAAAAAAAAAUCACGAAAAAGAUCAAGCAGCCAUGAAAACAAACAUACAUAGAUUAUCGAAGAGAAAUUCAAGCAAAAUCAACCCAAAAUUAAUAAAAUAAUGUAAAAAUAGUCCAAAAUAAAAAUGGCGACACUUCAAAUUUAUUUCCACAAAACAUGCAAAAUAAUGGUAAAGCGAAAAGAAGAAGCUUUCACCGGGUUUUAAGUUUUUCCGGUAACAUGGUCAUGGUUUCCGGCCAAAUCUGAAAAUAAACAGAAAAAAAUAAUAGCAGUCAAAAGAGAAUGGAUCAUCGGUGUUGCUUCAACGGAUUUUACCGGAGCAACACCGGAGAGGAAUUUUCGACCAAAUCUGUUCCGGUCACUACCUCCGGCCAGGCAGCGGCGGUAGACGACAGAAAGAGAGGAAGCUGGGGCGGCAGAUGGUUUUUGUUGGUGGUUGAAACUCACCGGCCAUCAACUCCAGUGAGAUAGCGAAGAAAGUGAAUUAAUAAGGAGUUUGCAACUUGGGAUGGUGGUCGCCGGCGGUGGGAAAGAGAGCAAGGGGGGGGCACUGGUUGGAGGCUGGAAAGAGAGAUGAAAUGAGAGAGAGAAAGAAACAGAUUUUAUGUGUGUAUUUGUGGUGUUUGUGCGUCAGUGUGU